CAAAUGAAAAUAAUGGUCAGAUAUUCUCCAAUGAUAGUAUAGCAAAUGUAUUAAAUGAGGAUCUUACACACUCAAACGUGGAUCCUAAUAUACAUCAAGAAAAUGAAUGUAUAAAUAAUAUCAUAAAAGAAAUUCAAUUACCUAAGAAAUUAAAUAAAAGCGGGAGACCAUUAGGAUUUACAAUAUUGGAUUCACAAAAAAGCAUACAAAUCCAAAGAAAAUCAUAUAGAUAAAAAGUUAAAAUUUCAACAAGACCUUAAUUCCCAAAACUUUGUUGACCCAAAAAUAGUUGAU